rnacentral:rRNA from 1 species
CCUUGUACACACCGCCCGUCACACCAUGGAGUGGGUUUCACCAGAAGCCGGUCGCCUAACCGCAAGGGGCGCCGACCACGGUGAGAUUCAUGACUGGGGUG